rnacentral:rRNA from 1 species
GCAGGUACGAUGUCGAUUUGGAGGUUGUGCCCUUGAGGCGUGGCUUCCGAAGCUAACGCGUUAAAUCGACCGCCUGGGGAGUACGGCCGCAAGGUUAAAACUCAAAUGAAUUGACGGGGGCCCGCACAAGCGGUGGAGCAUGUGGUUUAAUUCGAUGCAACGCGAAGAACCUUACCUACUCUUGACAUCCAGCGAAUCCUGUAGAGAUACGGGAGUGCCUUCGGGAACGCUGAGACAGGUGCUGCAUGGCUGUCGUCAGCUCGUGUUGUGAAAUGUUGGGUUAAGUCCCGCAACGAGCGCAACCCUUAUCCUUUGUUGCCAGCGGUUCGGCCGGGAACUCAAAGGAGACUGCCAGUGAUAAACUGGAGGAAGGUGGGGAUGACGUCAAGUCAUCAUGGCCCUUACGAGUAGGGCUACACACGUGCUACAAUGGCGUAUACAAAGAGAAGCGAACUCGCGAGAGCAAGCGGACCUCAUAAAGUACGUCGUAGUCCGGAUUGGAGUCUGCAACUCGACUCCAUGAAGUCGGAAUCGCUAGUAAUCGUGGAUCAGAAUGCCACGGUGAAUACGUUCCCGGGCCUUGUACACACCGCCCGUCACACCAUGGGAGUGGGUUGCAAAAGAAGUAGGUAGCUUAACC